UACGAAGGGGGCUAGCGUUGUUCGGAAUUACUGGGCGUAAAGCGCGCGCAGGCGGUUCUUUAAGUCAGGGGUGAAAGCCCAGAGCUCAACUCUGGAAUUGCCUUUGAAACUAGAGAACUUGAGUACGGGAGAGGUGAGUGGAAUUCCGAGUGUAGAGGUGAAAUGCGUAGAUAUCAGGAGGAACACCUGUGGCGAAAGCGGCUCACUGGACCAUAACUGACGCUGAUGCACGAAAGCUAGGGGAGCAAACAGG
rnacentral:rRNA from 1 species